rnacentral:rRNA from 1 species
GACGAACGCUGGCGGCGUGCUUAACACAUGCAAGUCGAACGGAGUGGCGAACGGGUGAGUAACACGUGGGUGACCUGCCCUGCACUUCGGGAUAAGCCUGGGAAACUGGGUCUAAUACCGGAUAGUGUGGGAUGGGCACGCGGCCUAUCAGCUUGUUGGUGGGGUAAUGGCCUACCAAGGCUGCGCCGGGUAGCCGGCCUGAGAGGGUGGACGGCCACAUUGGGACUGAGAGACGGAGCAGACUGCAACGGGAGGCAGCAGUGGGGAAUAUUGCACAAUGGGGGGAAGCCUGAUGCAGCGACGCCGGGUGGGGGAUGACGGCCUUGGGGUGGUAAACGCCUUAAACCAUCGACGCGGUAGAUGGAGAAGAAGCACCGGCUAACUACGUGCCAGCAGCCGCGGUAAUUC